rfam:Gossypium raimondii Chr03_contig_415, whole genome shotgun sequence.
AAGAAAAGAACCUGUCAAGUUAGCCAAGGUGACUGCCUGGUACCCAACAAUGGUUUCAGGGAAAUUUGAAACCUCUUGGAAGGAACAGGCAAGUCAUCCUUGGCUACCAAACAGAUCUCUUAUCU